UUUAAUACAUGCCGUCGAGCGGACCGACGGGAGCUUGCUCUUUUAGGUCAGCGGCGGNCGGGUGAGUAACACGUGGGUAACCUGCCUGUAAGACUGGGAUAACUCCGGGAAACCGGGGCUAAUACCGGAUGCUUGAUUGAACCGCAUGGUUCAAUCAUAAAAGGUGGCUUUUAGCUACCACUUACAGAUGGACCCGCGGCGCAUUAGCUAGUUGGUGAGGUAACGGCUCACCAAGGCGACGAUGCGUAGCCGACCUGAGAGGGUGAUCGGCCACACUGGGACUGAGACACGGCCCAGACUCCUACGGGAGGCAGCAGUAGGGAAUCUUCCGCAAUGGACGAAAGUCUGACGGAGCAACGCCGCGUGAGUGAUGAAGGUUUUCGGAUCGUAAAACUCUGUUGUUAGGGAAGAACAAGUACCGUUCGAAUAGGGCGGUACCUUGACGGUACCUAACCAGAAAGCCACGGCUAACUACGUGCCAGCAGCCCGGG
rnacentral:rRNA from 1 species